rnacentral:rRNA from 1 species
GACGAACCGUGCGAACGUUGUUCGGAAUCACUGGCUUAAAGGGCGCGUAGGCGGACUGCCAAGUCCGGGGUGAAAUCCUCCGGCUUAACCGGAGAAUUGCCUGGGAUACUGGCGGUCUUGAGGGAGGUAGGGGCACGCGGAACUUCCGGUGGAGCGGUGAAAUGCGUUGAUAUCGGAAGGAACGCCGGUGGCGAAAGCGGCGUGCUGGCCCUCUUCUGACGCUGAGGCGCGAAAGCCAGGGGAGCGGAACGGG